rnacentral:rRNA from 1 species
CGCUGGUCGGCAUGCUUAACACAUGCAAGUCGGACGGGAAGCACCCUAGUGGUGCUUUCAGUGGCGGACGGGUGAGUAACGCGUAAGAACCUGCCCUUGGGAGGGGGACAACAGCUGGAAACGGUUGCUAAUACCCCAUAGGCUGAGGAGCGAAAGGAGGAAUCCACCCAAGGAGGGGCUUGCGUCUGAUUAGCUAGUUGGUGAGGCAAUGGCUUACCAAGGCGACGAUCAGUAGCUGGUCUGAGAGGAUGUCCAGCCACACAGAAGA